rnacentral:rRNA from 1 species
CUCGUAGGCGGCUUGUCGCGUCGACUGUGAAAACCCACAGCUCAACUGUGGGCUUGCAGCCGAUACGGGCAGGCUAGAGUUCGGUAGGGGAGACUGGAAUUCCUGGUGUAGCGGUGAAAUGCGCAGAUAUCAGGAGGAACACCGGUGGCGAAGGCGGGUCUCUGGGCCGAUACUGACGCUGAGGAGCGAAAGCGUGGGGAGCAAACA